CAGAAUUUGUAAGUGGUCAGCCUGGGGACAGUGAGACUGAGAUUUUCUUUCAGCCUUUGAAUGAAUACAACGUUGCCCGAUUGGAAUAUUAUCGCUAUUUUACGAGAAAAAUAGCAUAAAACUUGAUUUUAAACAGCGUUUGACAUGCUUCAAAGUACGGUAAUGGAAUAUUUUGACAUUUUUGUCACGAAAUGCGCUCGCCCUUCGGAUAGUGACCUGAAUGCACGACCAAAACGGAGCUAUUUGAAUAUAAUUAUGGAUUAUUUGGAACCAAAACAACAUUUGUUGUUGAAGUAGAAGUCCUGGGAGUGCAUUCUGAUGAAGAACAGCAAAGGCUAAGUAUAAAACCUUGUUCAGCGGUGUCGUGGGAACCCCCCCUACUAUAUUAGGACCUGUUACAGAAGACGAAGCUGAUGCAGUGGCUAUACACCAGUCCGUCUUCAGUGUAAUGAAGGACACUUGUAUCAGGUUGGUCACAUUUGAUUUGGUCAAAAUACUCACUUGUCUGUACAGGAAUUCACCUAACCACCAUUGAUAAUGUAAUUAGUGCUGUGUGUAUUUGUAUGUAUAUCUUGAAUGUUGUAAGGAGGUUCCCCCUUACUACUCCUAGGGCCGAGUGAGUAAUGCCAACCAGUCAGUGCCAUGCUGGCACAUGCCCCUUGUGAAUGAGCUGUGAAUCAGGAUCUCUGAUUGGCUAUGUUCAACUGUUUUUUCAGUGUACCAUUCCAGUGUUUAAUUGCUAUAUUGUAAUUACUUCGCCACCAUGGCCUAUUUAUUGCCUUAACUUACCUCAUUUGCACUCACUGUAUAUAGACUUUUUGUUUUCUUUUGUUCUACUGUAUGUUUUAUUUAUUCCAUGUGUAGCUCUGUGUUGUUGUAUGUGUCGAAUUGCUAUGCAUUAUCUUGGCCAGGUCGCAGUUGCAAAUGAGAACUUGUUCUCAACUAGCCUUCCUGGUUAAAUAAACAUUAUUUUAUUUUUUUACUGAUGGCUUCCAUGACUGUAUGGUGACAAUCUUUCUGUCUCUCCCCACCUCUCCGCUUCUGUGAUGUAAGAGCUGAGUCGGAGCUGUAAAUCAAGCUCCUUCAUGACCAGUAUCAGUGAUGAAAGAGGCCUGGAGCUGAUCUACACUGCCAUGCUCAUCAGACGUUUGCAAACACCUCAGAAGGGACAGGAGGUGAUUACUGAUAAGACAGUACAUCACAAGUGUUUAAUAAUAUAUCUGUCACUCAUCAUACAUGUCACUUUUCUAAAUCAAAACAAAUUGUAUUUGUCACAUGCUUCGUAAACAACAGGUGUAGACUAACAGUGAAAUGCUUACAGGUCCUUUUCCAAAAAUGCAGAGUUAAGAUUAAAAUACAACAUUUAAAUAGAAAUUGUGACAAGGAAUAAAUACACAGUGAAUAACGAAUAACAAUAACGAGUAAAUGUAGCUUGGAUAUUAGCCUUGUCGAUAACAAGGCUUAUCUAAAU
rnacentral:lncRNA from 1 species